rnacentral:tmRNA from 1 species
ACACUUGAUAAUUUCAUUUUAAUGAUUAUAUUAAUAGGGCUCUGGUCGCAAGGCCAAAGCUAUGGCGAUAAAUGUAAUCUAAAAUAGAUGGACAUGGACUCGGGGGCAGUACCCGACACCUCCACCAGCACUACUUACAUAUGGGGGUGACUUAACUUCGACAUGCAUAAUAAAAAGAUUGAUUUCGCUCAACUGAGAUACUGUUGGCUUUAGAGGCGCAAGCUUUUAAGGUAUCCGUUCAAAAACAAUAAAUGCAAACGAUAACUUUGCUAAUGAUAACUCUGAGUUUACUCUAGCUGCAGUAGCGGCUUAGUAUAAGUAGAGCUUAUCGGGGUUUGCCGGUUUUCCUGUCAACAGAAAAACCGGCAUU